rfam:TPA: Bos taurus chromosome 8, whole genome shotgun sequence.
UCCCCUCUGGCUCAGAUGGUAAAGCGUCUGUCUAUGAUGUGGGAGACCCAGGUUCGAUCCCUGGGUUGGGAA